UUGAUUGCUAGCCUUACUUAUGUUGCGUAUCCUAAUCAGAAACUUGGAGCACCAGAUGUUUUCAAUAUUUUAUCUGGCCGGGAUCUCUUUGGUCUUAUAAAAGGCGAUUCCAGACCCAAGGCUCAAAUUCUAAGCGUUAGUUAAUGAUGAUCAAGUACUUAUCACUCCGCCACAACGUUUGGUAGUCUAAUUACUUGACUCCUUCAUUCUUUCUUCUGCUUCCAAAUCCAAAAAUUUCAAUUGAUAUAUUUUUUACACCUUCCCUUUUAAAUAAAAAAAAUAGAAGAAAAUGACAGUCGGUGAAAUUUGAAAAUUCUUGCUUACCCCCAAUUAAAGAACAAGAUCGAGAAGUUUAAAUAUUAAUUCAAUUUUUUUUCCAAGUUGUCCUUUUUUCUUACUAAGCUUCAUUGAUCAUAUAUUUUCAGCGGUGAAUGUUACGAUCUCUUAUUUUUCUUUUUAGUGGGCGAUAGUAAGUGUUGAGUAUAAUAUUACACAUUGAUUAUAAUUUAUAUUUCUACUCCUACUCAUUGAUGGUUUCGAAUUUUAUGGUAUUUAAUAGUGGUGUUUUAACUAAAAAUGAUUGCAUCCGAUCUACAGUUAAUUAGUUUGCGAUCUAAACACUAGAACUCUUUGCAAAAUUAUAAUAGCCUCCUAGAAGACCCUUCAAUUGGUUCGAUUAAUUUAUGUACGCAGAUAGCCCAGACUUUUAGUAUAAUUUUAUUUUAAUCCGUAGGUUACUCGUCUUGUUUUUCAAAUUACUAUUCUCAUAUAUUUGGAUGGUUACAUGCAGUUAUCUUUUAGGUCAUUUCCCACUUACAUAAUGUUUUUGCAUUAUCAAUAUAUAAAAACUAAACUUUAAUUGAAAACUUAAUAAUAACACUUAAUUAGUACUCCUAACUUGCUAUGACAGUUAAAUGAUAAAAAUAUUAUAAAUAGUUUUUACAUUAUCAAUCCAUAUAACUUAAAAUCCUUAUUUCACAUCUGCCUUCCCUUGGGCCCUACCAAAGCUUGGUUCUGGGAAUUUUCCUUUAUUGGCUUCGACCGGUAAAGACAGUUACACUCCACGAUCAAUCAUUUCACGAGUGACUUCAUUAUAUUUUAGUUAAAUAUAAAAAUAUCAAGGUACAUAUAUUUGGCACAUACACUAUAAAAAUAUAAUAUUGUGUAUGUAUAUAUAUUUGGCAAAAGAGAAGAUAAUCUUCGAGACCUUCAUGAAGAUGCUAUGACUUUCUAAAGACUUUCAUGAAGACACUAUAACUAUAUUAUUCCCUAUUAUUAUUGUCGUGAUUUACAGAGUGUUUACAGAGUAGAUUUUAGGAAGAAGAAGACAUAGUCAUUGAGAGAGAGAGGAAGAGAGCUAAAAUUCUGUAUAUUGUCCUAACUAGUGAAUGCUAAGUACAUAUAUUUAUACACUACUCUUAAUUGUGUAAUCUUAACUAAUUAACUAACUCCCUAACAACUAUUAACGACUAAUAACAACUUUUAGAUACAAAGACUAAACUACCCUCAUAUUAUUUAACACUCCCCCUCAAGUUAGGUGGUGAAAAAAUGUUGAUCACACCUAGCUUGGAUUUCAAAUAUUCAUGUUGCACUUUGGUUAAUCCCUUUAUAAGAAUAGCAGCAGGUUGAUCUGUUGUUGCAACAUAUUUGGUGAUGACAAGUCUCUGUUGAAUUCUUUCUCUCAUAAAGUGACAAUCAAUUUCAAUGUGCUUGGUUCUUUCAUGAUAGACUGGGUUUGCAGCUAUUUGUAUAGUUGAUUUGCUGUCACCGUAAAUAUUGAUAGGUAACUGAAUCUAUGUAUCAACUUCUAUUAGUAAACCAUACAACUAAAUGAGUUCAGCUACAGUUGUUGCUAAGCUUUUGAAUUCAGCUUCCGCAGAGCUUCGAGAUACAGUAGUUUGUUUCUUAGACUUUUAUGAGACUAAGGAUUCACCAACUUUAACUAGGAACCCUAUAACUAAUUUUCUAGUCAAAGGGCAUGCAUCCCAAUCUGCAUCACAGAAGGCAAUGAUUGUAUUAUUCGGUAUACUUGAUAGCAAAAUCCCUUGCCCUGGCUAACUUUAACAUAUUUUACUAUCCUUAAAGCAGCUUAUAUGUGUGAUUUUGGGCUGUUGAAGGAAUUGGCUAAGAGUUUGAACUCCAAAUGCUAUAUCUGGCCUGGUUACAAUUAAAUAUUGAAGUUUUCCUAUUAAUCUUUGAUAGAAAGUUUGAUCAACCAAUGUGUCUUAUUCUUCUAAACAUUCUGUCUUACCAAUGUAGUCAUCAUACUGCUUAGAGGUUAGUUUGAUGUUAACAUCAAUAGGGGUUAGUGCUGGUUUGGCUGCAGCUAGGCCCACUUCUGAGAUUAGUUCCAAAGCAUAUUUUCUUUUAUGCAUAGUUAUUCCUUGAUUACAUUUGGCAAACUCAAUCCCUAAGAAGUAUUUUAGCUCCCCUAGAUCUUUCAUUUUGAAUGCAUUAUGCAGUAGGUUUUUAGUCUCCUCAAUCAAUUGCAGACUGUCACCUGUGAUUAACAUAUCAUCUACAUAUACUAGAAUUAUGGUAGUACCUUCAAAUAUUUUUCUGAUGAAUAGAGAAUAAUCAUACUGACUUUGUUUGAAGUUGAAUCUCAGCAAGGCUUCACACAGUUUUGCAUUCCAUUGUCUAGGGGCUUGUUUGAGCCCAUACAGGGAUUUAAUAAAUCUACACACAGUGUUCUCCCCCUGACUUUUAAAUCCCUGUGGUAAUUUCAUGUAAAUUUCAUCAAAUAAGUCACCUUGAAGAAAGGCAUUAUAUACAUCCAUUUGAUGUAUAUGCCACUUCCUUGUAGCUGCUAAGGCAAGAAUGGUUCUUACUGUGAUUAUUUGCACCACUGGUGAAAAUGUUUCUUGAUAAUCAAUUCCCUUUUUUUGGUUGUAGUCUUUGGCUAUUAAUUUAGCUUUGAACCUUUCAAAUUCAUCUAAGGCUUUAUACUUGAUUUUGUAAAUUCACUUACAUCCUAUAGGUUUCUUGCCUUUUGGUAGUGUUACAAUGUCCCAGGUAUGAUUGCUCUCAAGUGCUCUUAUCUCUUCAUCAAUUAUUUGUAUCCAUCUUGGAUCUAGGAUUGCUUCAAAGUAGUUAGUUGGUUCAGUAACUAAUGAAGUUGCAGCUACAUAGGACUGAUAUUUAGAGAAGAGAUGAUCAUAGCUGAUAUAUUUAUACAUAUAUUUAUGUAUAUUGUCCUAACUAGUGAAUGCUAAGUACAUAUAUUUAUACACUACUCUUAAUUGUGUAAUCUUAACUAAUUAACUAACUCCCUAACAACUAUUAACGACUAAUAACAACUUUUAGAUACAAAGACUAAACUACCCUCAUAUUAUUUAACACUCCCCCUCAAGUUAGGUAGUAAAAAAAUAUUGAUCACACCUAGCUUGGAUUUCAAAUAUUCAUAUUGCACUUUGGUUAAUCCCUUUAUAAGAAUAGCAGCAGGUUGAUCUGUUGUUGCAACAUAUUUGGUGAUGACAAGUCUCUGUUGAAUUCUUUCUCUCACAAAGUGACAAUCAAUUUCAAUGUGCUUGGUUCUUUCAUGAUAGACUGGGUUUGCAGCUAUUUGUAUAGUUGAUUUGCUGUCACCGUAAAUAUUGAUAGGUAACUGAAUCUGUGUAUCAACUUCUAUUAGUAAACCAUACAACUAAAUGAGUUCAGCUACAGUUGUUGCUAAGCUUUUGAAUUCAGCUUUCGCAGAGCUUCGAGAUACAGUAGUUUGUUUCUUAGACUUUUAUGAGACUAAGGAUUCACCAACUUUAACUAGGAACCCUAUAACUGAUUUUCUAGUCAAAGGGCAUGCAUCCCAAUCUGCAUCACAGAAGGCAAUGAUUGUAUUAUUCGGUAUACUUGAUAGCAAAAUCCCUUGCCCUGGCUGACUUUAACAUAUUUUACUAUCCUUAAAGCAGCUUAUAUGUGUGAUUUUGGGCUGUUGAAGGAAUUGGCUAAGAGUUUGAACUCCAAAUGCUAUAUCUGGCCUGGUUACAAUUAAAUAUUGAAGUUUUCCUAUUAAUCUUUGAUAGAAAGUUUGAUCAACCAAUGUGUCUUAUUCUUCUAAACAUUCUGUCUUACCAAUGUAGUCAUCAUACUGCUUAGAGGUUAGUUUGAUGUUAACAUCAAUAGGGGUUAGUGCUGGUUUGGCUGCAGCUAGGCCCACUUCUGAGAUUAGUUCCAAAGCAUAUUUUCUUUUAUGCAUAGUUAUUCCUUGAUUACAUUUGGCAAACUCAAUCCCUAAGAAGUAUUUUAGCUCCCCUAGAUCUUUCAUUUUGAAUGCAUUAUGCAGUAGGUUUUUAGUCUCCUCAAUCAAUUGCAGACUGUCACCUAUGAUUAACAUAUCAUCUACAUAUACUAGAAUUAUAGUAGUACCUUCAAAUAUUUUUCUGAUGAAUAGAGAAUAAUCAUACUGACUUUGUUUGAAGUUGAAUCUCAGCAAGGCUUCACACAGUUUUGCAUUCUAUUGUCUAGGGGCUUGUUUGAGCCCAUACAGGGAUUUAAUAAAUCUACACACAGUGUUCUCCCCCUGACUUUUAAAUCCCUGUGGUAAUUUCAUGUAAAUUUCAUCAAAUAAGUCACCUUGAAGAAAGGCAUUAUAUACAUCCAUUUGAUGUAUAUGCCACUUCCUUGUAGCUGCUAAGGCAAGAAUGGUUCUUACUGUGAUUAUUUGCACCACUGGUGAAAAUGUUUCUUGAUAAUCAAUUCCCUUUUUUUGGUUGUA